UACGAAGGGGGCUAGCGUUGCUCGGAAUGACUGGGCGUAAAGGGCGCGUAGGCGGCUUGCACAGUCAGGCGUGAAAUUCCUGGGCUCAACCUGGGGACUGCGCUUGAGACGUGUGGGCUUGAGUGGGGAAGAGGGUCGUGGAAUUCCCAGUGUAGAGGUGAAAUUCGUAGAUAUUGGGAAGAACACCGGUGGCGAAGGCGGCGACCUGGUCCUUGACUGACGCUGAGGCGCGGAAGCGUGGGGAGCAAACAGG
rnacentral:rRNA from 1 species